rnacentral:rRNA from 2 species
GAGUUUGAUCCUGGCUCAGGAUGAACGCUGGCGGCGUGCUUAACACAUGCAAGUCGAGCAGGAGUAUGAAAUCUGAGAGCUUCGGCAGGAUGAUUUCAUAUUUUAGCGGCGGACGGGUGAGUAACGUGUGGGCAACCUGCCCUGUACUGUGGAAUAAUCACUGGAAACGGUGACUAAUACCGCAUGUCAUCCGAAGAGGGCAUCCUCUUUGGAGANNAGGAUUUAUUCGGUACAGGAUGGGCCCGCAUCUGAUUAGCUAGUUGGUGAGAUAACAGCUCACCAAGGCAACGAUCAGUAGCCGACCUGAGAGGGUGAUCGGCCACAUUGGGACUGAGACACGGCCCAAACUCCUACGGGAGGCAGCAGUGGGGAAUAUUGCACAAUGGGCGAAAGCCUGAUGCAGCAACGCCGCGUGAAGGAUGAAGGGUUUCGGCUCGUAAACUUCUAUCAACAGGGACGAAAAAAAUGACGUACCUGAUAAAGAAGCCCCGGCUAACUACGUGCCAGCAGCCGCGGUAAUACGUAGGGGGCAAGCGUUAUCCGGAAUUACUGGGUGUAAAGGGAGAGUAGGCGGCAUGGUAAGUUAGAUGUGAAAGCCCGAGGCUUAACCUCGGGAUUGCAUUUAAAACUAUCAAGCUAGAGUACAGGAGAGGUAAGUGGAAUUCCUAGUGUAGCGGUGAAAUGCGUAGAUAUUAGGAAGAACACCAGUGGCGAAGGCGACUUACUGGACUGAAACUGACGCUGAGGCUCGAAAGCGUGGGGAGCGAACAGGAUUAGAUACCCUGGUAGUCCACGCCGUAAACGAUGAGUGCUAGGUGUAGGGGGGGAACCCUCGGUGCCGCAGUAACGCAAUAAGCACUCCACCUGGGGAGUACGAUCGCAAGAUUGAAACUCAAAGGAAUUGACGGGGGCCGCACAAGCGGUGGAGCAUGUGGUUUAAUUCGAAGCAACGCGAAGAACCUUACCAAGGCUUGACAUCCCUCUGACCGGUGUAGAGAUACACCUUCUCUUCGGAGCAGGGGUGACAGGUGGUGCAUGGUUGUCGUCAGCUCGUGUCAUGUUAGGUUAAGUCCCGCAACGAGCGCAACCCUUAUCCUUAGUAGCCAUCAUUCAGUUGGGCACUCUAGGGAGACUGCCGUGGAUAACACGGAGGAAGGUGGGGAUGACGUCAAAUCAUCAUGCCCCUUAUGUCUUGGGCUACACACGUGCUACAAUGGCUGGUAACAAAGUGACGCAAAACGGCGACGUCGAGCAAAUCACAAAAACCCAGUCCCAGUUCGGAUUGUAGUCUGCAACUCGACUACAUGAAGCUGGAAUCGCUAGUAAUCGCGAAUCAGAAGUCGCGGUGAAUACGUUCCCGGGCCUUGUACACACCGCCCGUCACACCAUGGGAGUUGGAAGCACCCGAAGUCGGUGACCUAACCGUAAGAAGGAGCCGCCGAAGUGAAGCCAGUGACUGGGGUGAAGUCGUAACAAGGUAGCCGUAUCGGAAGUGCCGGCCUGGAUCACCU